GACGAACCGUGCGAACGUUGUUCGGAAUCACUGGGCUUAAAGGGCGCGUAGGCGGCCGGGUUGGUCGUGGGUGAAAUCCCCCAGCUUAACUGGGGAACGGCUUACGAUACUGCCUGGCUCGAGGGAGGAAGGGGCGGUCGGAACUGUCGGUGGAGCGGUGAAAUGCGUUGAUAUCAGGAGGAACACCAAUGGCGAAGGCAGCUCGCUGGGACGUGACUGACGCUGAGACGCGAAAGCGUGGGGAGCAAACAGG
rnacentral:rRNA from 1 species